GACCCCUUUCUCAUUGGAUUGUGUGGGGUAUUUUUCUUUUGCGCUUGGGCUGGAAGCCAUGAUCAGCCCUUGAGGAUCCUGGUUAAUGCUGCUGUGACCUGGGGAGCCUGUUUCCUGCCUCAGACAUCU
ensembl:scaRNA